UACGUAGGGUCCAAGCGUUAAUCGGAAUUACUGGGCGUAAAGCGUGCGCAGGCGGUUUUGUAAGCCAGAUGUGAAAUCCCCGGGCUUAACCUGGGAACUGCAUUUGGGACUGCAAGGCUUGAGUACAGCAGAGGGGGGUAGAAUUCCUGGUGUAGCAGUGAAAUGCGUAGAUAUCAGGAGGAAUACCGAUGGCGAAGGCAGCCCCCUGGGUUGAUACUGACGCUCAUGCACGAAAGCGUGGGGAGCAAAC
rnacentral:rRNA from 1 species